ensembl:lncRNA
GAGAACCCUGCCGCCCCGACAGCUCUCACACCCUGAGCCACACCCACCCUCCUCACCCCCUCCACCAAUCACAGAGGAACCCCAGGAAACCCUGCCCUCUCGCCGUGGUCGCCUAGACUCCGCCCCCCCAUGUAGGUACCCUCCAUCUACAGCUGCACCCGGAGCUCCAUCCAGUCGCCCACCCUCUAGUGAACACCUGGAUAUCCUCUCCUCCAUACUCGCCUCCUUCAGCUCCACUGUCUUAACCCCGCCCCCUAACCCUGUCUCUGCCCCGGCAGGCCCCUCCCCUUCCCCGCCUCCUCUCUCUGCAACCUCUCAGAGCGUCUCUGAAGUAUCACCUGACUCUGAAGUUAACAGAAGUGAUGGACAAUCUUGAUGAUUCCUUCGCGGUCCCAUAAUGCACCUCUGCAGAUGGGCUCAAGAAUCACAGGACAUAGCCAACCGGAGCAAUCCGGACUCCUACUUCACCCUGGGAAGUGCGUAGGACGUGAGAGUGAAGUUGUUCAUCAAGGGCUGGAGAUAUCACCCUCCUGAGAACAAACAGGAAAUCAGACCAGAGAAGGUCAUGAUUUCUAUGAUUUUCAUUUAUCCAAACUACAAACCUCAGAUUUCAGACCAACAGCUGAGAAGACUGGUCAGAGACACACAGAGAGAGAGAGAGAAACUGUACAGAACAUUUUUAUACUUUUUGUAUCUUUUUCAUCAAAGAUCAAAGAAGAAAAAUCUCUAGUGAUGUUUUUGAAGAUUGUGUGGAUAUGUGUUUAAGUGGGUAGGAUCGAAAAAAACAUUUUCAAACCCAUUCCGAGCCAAAACAGUCCCAAACAUUCCCACUCCAAUCUUUCCAUUCCAAUAUGUGUUUAUGCAACAAGCCACGCCCACUGAUAGACCGGAGAGAGUCUAUGAAGAAAAGGAUUGGUCCGUGCAAAUGCAGAAGUUUAUUGGCCCAAACAUAGGAUUGGUGGGAAACUCUAGAGACAGUGAUUGUUAUUGUAAAGAAUUAUGAAACAGAAGAUAUGUUUGGACCGUAAUGAUUGUCAAUUAAUGGAUUGUUAUCAGACAGGUUACUUGAUUGGAAGAUUUUAGGUUGGUCUAAACACAUUUCAACAAACUCCAACAAACGCAUGCUUGUAUGAGAUGCCUCUCUGGUUUCUGGAAUAUUUUUGGCCAAACUGCUCUGAAAUAAUAUUGAAGCAUGUCUUGAAGUUUGUUGCAGCUGUGUGAAGAUUUGUGUAACUAGCCUACAAGCAUAUUCAAGACUUUGUAGCAUAAUUAAGACCUCUAUCAUAUCCAGGCUUAUCAUAAUUCAAACACUGCUUUAGGAAAUGUUACUCAAAGACUCCAAAUCAACUAUUCAGGAGAAAAUAUUUAAUCCACCU